rnacentral:rRNA from 1 species
UACAGAGGUCCCAAGCGUUGUUCGGAUUCACUGGGCGUAAAGGGUGCGUAGGCGGUCGGGUAAGUCUGACGUGAAAUCUUCAAGCUCAACUUGGAAACUGCGUCGGAAACUACUCGGCUAGAGGAAUGGAGGGGAGACUGGAAUACUUGGUGUAGCAGUGAAAUGCGUAGAUAUCAAGUGGAACACCAGUGGCGAAGGCGAGUCUCUGGACAUUUCCUGACGCUGAGGCACGAAAGCCAGGGGAGCAAACGGG